GUUCCAUAAGUGCUCUAGAGCCUUGUGGCUUCUGAGUCUCUUUAGUCAUUUUGAAGACUCCCAGUGGUCUGCUCCAGAGCCCCUGAGCACACCUCUAUAUACCACUCCCUAGGGUCCACAGCAUUACGCUUUAAGAGAUCAGCAACUCACUUCCCCAGCCAAUGGUGGCCCUGGCUGAGAAUUGACAUCACAAAGCGCAAUCCUGAUACCUCUAGGGCAGAAUGGGGGGCAACUCAGAUGAUUUGAUGGGGGGGGGGAAUGCAUCACUUUUAAUGGCCCUUAGGAGCCCUCCAAACUCACCUGUCAUCCUCAUCUCUCUAAGUCAACUCUGUUGUGUCACAAGGCAGGGAGCAUGUGUCUCCUCCAAACCUUGACCCACAGCCACAGUACCGAGGCUUUGAUUCUGUUCUCUCCCACAUUUCACCAUCAUCUAGAUUGUAAUAUCUUGCCUAA
rnacentral:sRNA from 1 species